rnacentral:lncRNA from 1 species
AUCAAAGUAGAUGCUAAUUCUCAGAAGAAUUUGAAUCAGGAAGCUUGUUAAAUCAAUACUGCAUGCUUAUAAUGUAAUUACAGUAGAUUGGAGUAAGGAGUUGGAUACGACACCAACAAGACUUACAGAAGUGGCUCAUUUUAUCAAUUAAAUUAAAUUCAGAAUUAUCAUUUUAUGUAUUUGGGUUUAUCCCAUACUAGUGAUAAUACCCGCGAAGUUCGCGGUUUGAAUAAAAUAAUAUGUUUUU